CCAGGUCAAAAGGGGUAUGCAGGUGAACCAGGACCAGAAGGCUUAAAGGGAGAAGUAGGAGAUCAAGGAAAUAUUGGAAAAAUUGGUGAAACAGGACCUGUUGGCUUACCUGGAGAAGUUGGGAUGACUGGAAGCAUUGGUGAAAAGGGAGAACGUGGAAGUCCAGGCCCACUAGGUCCCCAGGGAGAAAAAGGUGUUAUGGGAUAUCCAGGUCCUCCUGGGGUUCCAGGACCUAUCGGUCCAUUGGGAUUACCUGGUCAUGUGGGGGCAAGAGGACCACCUGGGAGUCAAGGUCCUAAAGGACAAAGAGGAUCAAGAGGACCAGAUGGUCUCUUAGGGGAACAAGGUAUACAAGGUGCCAAGGGUGAAAAAGGAGAUCAAGGAGAAAGAGG
rnacentral:lncRNA from 1 species